rnacentral:rRNA from 1 species
UACGAAGGGGGCUAGCGUUGCUCGGAAUUACUGGGCGUAAAGGGCGCGUAGGCGGAUGUUUAAGUCAGAGGUGAAAGCCCAGGGCUCAACCUUGGAACUGCCUUUGAUACUGGGCAUCUUGAGUAUGGGAGAGGUUAGUGGAAUUCCCGGUGUAGUGGUGAAAUGCGUAGAUAUCGGGAGGAACACCAGUGGCGCAAGCGGCUAACUGGCCGAGACCUGACGCUGAGACGCGACGGCGUGGGGAGCAAACCGG